CCUACGGGUGGCAGCAGUAGGGAAUAUUGCUCAAUGGGGGAAACCCUGAAGCAGCAACGCCGCGUGGAGGAUGAAGGUUUUCCGAUUGUAAACUCCUUUUGUUAGAGAAGAUAAUUACGGUAUCUAACGAAUAAUUACUGGCUAACACCGUGCCAGCAGCCGCGGUAAUACGGAGGGUGCAAGCGUUACUCGGAAUCACUGGGCGUAAAGCGCGCGUAGGCGGGAUAGCAAGUCAGUUGUGAAAUCCUAUGGCUUAACCAUAGAACUGCAUUUGAAACUGUUAGUCUAGAGUAUGGGAGAGGUAGGUGGAAUUCUUGGUGUAGGGGUAAAAUCCGUAGAGAUCAAGAGGAAUACUCAUUGCGAAGGCGACCUGCUAGAACGUAACUGACGCUGAUGCGCGAAAGCGUGGGGAGCAAACAGGAUUAGAUACCCGAGUAGUC
rnacentral:rRNA from 1 species